rnacentral:tRNA from 1 species
UAUAGCUCAAUAGCAGAGUAUUUGCCUAGCAUGCACAAAGCUCUGGGUUCAACUCCCAGUA